AACGAACGCUGGCGGCAGGCCUAACACAUGCAAGUCGAGCGCGCCCUUCGGGGUGAGCGGCGGACGGGUUAGUAACGCGUGGGAACGUGCCCAGAUCUAAGGAAUAGCCACUGGAAACGGUGAGUAAUACCUUAUACGCCCUUCGGGGGAAAGAUUUAUCGGAUUUGGAUCGGCCCGCGUUAGAUUAGGUAGUUGGUGGGGUAAUGGCCUACCAAGCCUACGAUCUAUAGCUGGUUUUAGAGGAUGAUCAGCAACACUGGGACUGAGACACGGCCCAGACUCCUACGGGAGGCAGCAGUGGGGAAUCUUGGACAAUGGGGGCAACCCUGAUCCAGCCAUGCCGCGUGAGUGAUGAAGGCCUUAGGGUCGUAAAGCUCUUUCGCCUGUGAUGAUAAUGACAGUAGCAGGUAAAGAAACCCCGGCUAACUCCGUGCCAGCCGCCGCCGUAACAC
rnacentral:rRNA from 1 species